rnacentral:lncRNA from 1 species
AUGCAUGGGGGCCACAGCCCUCAAUGCCUCCAGGUCUCCAGCAAUCUAACCCUCCUCCACUCCGCCUCUCAGUCUGGAAAACAGCUUUGCAAGUUAACCUCCAGGGGCAUUCACUGGGUUUCCAGUGGGGUCCCCAGCCCCACAGGCUGCCAAAAUAGGCUCUUUACACUCCAUAGAUGGGAGAGAAAAAUCUGCUUGUUCGGUUGCAACUGUCAAGCAAAGGACGUGCUGAGCUCAGAUAGAAAUAGCAGCAGGGUCAGGGCAGGGCAAGGCCCUAGCAUUUCAUUAGCUCAGCCCACUAAGGGUGAUUAAAUGCACACAGUGGCCCAUGAAUGGGGCCAUGGAGGGCAGCCACACAGUGCAGCACAGAAAAAUCAUUCUUUGGCCGCUGUCAGCUGGCUGAAUGGGACUUAAUUAUCGGGAUAAUGAGAACUGAUUUUCAUUGUUUUAAUUUUGGGCAAGGGGUGAGAAAGGAGGGACUUUUUUCCCUCAUCUGGGUGAAAGGAUGCUAAGUAUGGCCUCCAACUGGGCCCCACAUCUUCUAGGCUGCUGUGAGCUAAGCCUCCUGCAUUUGCUGUUUUUAUGGAUGCAAUAAGGAAGGGUGUUAGGCUUGUCUUCUGUGUUGGUACUUCCUGUAGGCCCUGUAAGCCUGGCAGGAUGUGUCCUUGUAAGAGCAUGUCUGUGCUGGCAUCUGAUCCCAGCAGCUGAGCCAAGGUAACAUGGACAGAAUCCACUGGACAGAUCUGUCUGUUCUCAGCUCUUUCCAAGUGCUUUCGAGUCAUCAGUGAAUCCUGUCUUGUUCCUCUUUUUGUUUUGUUUUUAAUGCAAUAUCUAGAGAAUUCCAACUAUUUGCUGAGGUCAAACAGAAAAAUUCUGGUUUCUUCUGUUCAUUUUGAGGCUCAAAGUCCAAGGGGUCCACUGCAGACCAGUGCGGGGGUCAUCAGAACUCUUUAAAACCCAGAAAUCCUUGACGAAUGAGAUAAGCUCUGACCCUAUGAGCUGUGAACAUCACAAAUCCAUCUCACUCUUAUUCAGUUUAAUUCACCUGCUACCUUCCCAAGAGCUUGUUCUUCAUAGAGAAAUGAGACGGUUAUU